rnacentral:rRNA from 1 species
GACGAACGCUGGCGGCGUGCCUAAUACAUGCAAGUCGAGCGCAGAAAACUGACGGAACUCUUCGGAGGGAAGGCAGUGGAAUGAGCGGCGGACGGGUGAGUAACACGUAAGGAACCUGCCUCAAGGAUUGGGAUAACUCCGAGAAAUCGGAGCUAAUACCGGAUAGUUCAUCGGACCGCAUGGUCCGCUGAUGAAAGGCGCUCCGGCGUCACCUUGAGAUGGCCUUGCGGUGCAUUAGCUAGUUGGUGGGGUAACGGCCCACCAAGGCGACGAUGCAUAGCCGACCUGGGAGGGUGAUCGGCCACACUGGGACUGAGACACGGCCCAGACUCCUACGGGAGGCAGCAGUAGGGAAUCUUCCACAAUGGACGAAAGUCUGAUGGAGCAACGCCGCGUGAGUGAUGAAGGUUUUCGGAUCGUAAAACUCUGUUGUAAGGGAAGAACACGUACGAGAGGGAAUGCUCGUACCUUGACGGUACCUUACGAGAAAGCCACGGCUAACUACGUGCCAGCCGCCGCGGUAA